rnacentral:rRNA from 1 species
GACGUAGGGGGCCAGCGUUGCUCGGAAUUACUGGGCGUAAAGGGUUCGUAGGCGGUGUGGCAAGUCGGUAGUGAAAUCUCCAGGCUUAACUUGGAGGCUGCUGCCGAAACUGCCGUGCUAGAGUGCAGGAGAGGCGAGUGGAAUUACAGGUGUAGCGGUGAAAUGCGUAGAUAUCUGUAGGAACACCCGUGGCGAAGGCGGCUCGUUGGACUGCAACUGACGCUGAGGAACGAAAGCUAGGGGAGCAAACAGG